ensembl:snoRNA
AAGACUAUACUUUCAGGGAUCAUUUCUAUAGUUUGUUACUAGAGGAUUGUGGCUGAAAGUGUAGCACGGAGGUAACCACGAGGAGGAGCUGUAGUGUUCUCUUCUGAGCGUGAAGCUGGCUUGUGGUGCUGCUUUCCAGCAGCUGCUACCUGCCAUUGAUGAUCGUUCUUCUCUGCUUUUGGGCAGGGUGAGAGGAAGAGAACACAUGCUGAGUGGCU